AACGUCCCGGAGCAGCAAAGGCGCGGAGGAGGGAGACUGUUCGAGCACGUGCAGAGAUGAAGCCGGGAGUUUUCUGGAGGUUCCUCACUGCUCUCUUUCGGAGCCCAGCGUCCUGCCCCGUGUGGUAGCCACAGAGAUCCCUGGCAGCCUGCAGCUAGCGGCUUGCUGUCUGCUCCAACGUGGAGCAGCAACCCAGGCUACGUCAUUCUCACUGUGAUGACUGAGAAGCAAGAGAGCGGCUGUAUUUCGAGCCCGUGCUGAAUUCACAUCCAGUAACAACCCGUUGACCAAAUCAAGUCGCC